rnacentral:rRNA from 1 species
UACGAAGGGGGCUAGCGUUGUUCGGAAUUACUGGGCGUAAAGCGCACGUAGGCGGGUCGUUAAGUCAGGGGUGAAAUCCCAGAGCUCAACUCUGGAACUGCCUUUGAUACUGGCGACCUAGAGUCCGGAAGAGGUGAGUGGAACUGCGAGUGUAGAGGUGAAAUUCGUAGAUAUUCGCAAGAACACCAGUGGCGAAGGCGGCUCACUGGUCCGGUACUGACGCUGAGGUGCGAAAGCGUGGGGAGCAAACAGG